rnacentral:rRNA from 2 species
GCAAGUUCGAGCGAACUGAUUAGAAGCUUGCUUCUAUGACGUUAGCGGCGGACGGGUGAGUAACACGUGGGCAACCUGCCUGUAAGACUGGGAUAACUUCGGGAAACCGAAGCUAAUACCGGAUAGGAUCUUCUCCUUCAUGGGAGAUGAUUGAAAGAUGGUUUCGGCUAUCACUUACAGAUGGGCCCGCGGUGCAUUAGCUAGUUGGUGAGGUAACGGCUCACCAAGGCAACGAUGCAUAGCCGACCUGAGAGGGUGAUCGGCCACACUGGGACUGAGACACGGCCCAGACUCCUACGGGAGGCAGCAGUAGGGAAUCUUCCGCAAUGGACGAAAGUCUGACGGAGCAACGCCGCGUGAGUGAUGAAGGCUUUCGGGUCGUAAAACUCUGUUGUUAGGGAAGAACAAGUACAAGAGUAACUGCUUGUACCUUGACGGUACCUAACCAGAAAGCCACGGCUAACUACGUGCCAGCAGCCGCGGUAAUACGUAGGUGGCAAGCGUUAUCCGGAAUUAUUGGGCGUAAAGCGCGCGCAGGCGGUUUCUUAAGUCUGAUGUGAAAGCCCACGGCUCAACCGUGGAGGGUCAUUGGAAACUGGGGAACUUGAGUGCAGAAGAGAAAAGCGGAAUUCCACGUGUAGCGGUGAAAUGCGUAGAGAUGUGGAGGAACACCAGUGGCGAAGGCGGCUUUUUGGUCUGUAACUGACGCUGAGGCGCGAAAGCGUGGGGAGCAAACAGGAUUAGAUACC